CUGGCUCAGGAUGAACGCUAGCUACAGGCUUAACACAUGCAAGUCGAGGGGAAACGAUAGAGAAAGCUUGCUUUUUCUAGGCGUCGACCGGCGCACGGGUGAGUAACGCGUAUCCAACCUGCCCAUCACUUGGGGAUAACCUUGCGAAAGUAAGACUAAUACCCAAUGACGUCUCUAGAAGACAUCUGAAGGAGAUUAAAGAUUUAUCGGUGAUGGAUGGGGAUGCGUCUGAUUAGCUUGUUGGCGGGGUAACGGCCCACCAAGGCGACGAUCAGUAGGGGUUCUGAGAGGAAGGUCCCCCACAUUGGAACUGAGACACGGUCCAAACUCCUACGGGAGGCAGCAGUGAGGAAUAUUGGUCAAUGGACGAGAGUCUGAACCAGCCAAGUAGCGUGCAGGAUGACGGCCCUAUGGGUUGUAAACUGCUUUUAUAAGGGAAUAAAGUGAGUCUCGUGAGACUUUUUGCAUGUACCUUAUGAAUAAGGACCGGCUAAUUCCGUGCCAGCAGCCGCGGUAAUACGGAAGGUCCGGGCGUUAUCCGGAUUUAUUGGGUUUAAAGGGAGCGUAGGCCGGAGAUUAAGCGUGUUGUGAAAUGUAGAUGCUCAACAUCUGCACUGCAGCGCGAACUGGUUUCCUUGAGUACGCACAAAGUGGGCGGAAUUCGUGGUGUAGCGGUGAAAUGCUUAGAUAUCACGAAGAACUCCGAUUGCGAAGGCAGCUCACUGGAGCGCAACUGACGCUGAAGCUCGAAAGUGCGGGUAUCGAACAGGAUUAGAUACCCUGGUAGUCCGCACGGUAAACGAUGGAUGCCCGCUGUUGGUCUGAAUAGGUCAGCGGCCAAGCGAAAGCAUUAAGCAUCCCACCUGGGGAGUACGCCGGCAACGGUGAAACUCAAAGGAAUUGACG
rnacentral:rRNA from 1 species